GACGAACGCUGGCGGCGUGCUUAACACAUGCAAGUCGAACGGAAAGGCCCUGCUUUUGUGGGGUGCUCGAGUGGCGAACGGGUGAGUAACACGUGAGUAACCUGCCCUUGACUUUGGGAUAACUUCAGGAAACUGGGGCUAAUACCGGAUAGGAGCUCCUGCUGCAUGGUGGGGGUUGGAAAGUUUCGGCGGUUGGGGAGGGACUCGCGGCUUAUCAGCUUGUUGGUGGGGUAGUGGCUUACCAAGGCUUUGACGGGUAGCCGGCCUGAGAGGGUGACCGGCCACAUUGGGACUGGGAUACGGCCCAGACUCCUACGGGAGGCAGCAGUGGGGAAUAUUGCACAAUGGGCGGAAGCCUGAUGCAGCAACGCCGCGUGCGGGAUGACGGCCUUCGGGUUGUAAACCGCUUUCGCCUGUGACGAAGCGUGAGUGACGGUAAUGGGUAAAGAAGCACCGGCUAACUACGUG
rnacentral:rRNA from 1 species